UUUUUUUUUGAGACAGAGUCUUGUCCUGUCUCCCAGGCUGGAAUGCAGUGGAUGAUCUCUGCUCACUGCAACCUCUGCCUCAUGGGUUCAAGCGAUUCUCAUGCCUCAGCUUCCCAAGUAGCUAGGAUUACAGGUGCCCACCUCCACACCCAGCUAGUUUUUAUAUUUUUAUUCAAUAUGGGGUUUCACCAUGUUGGUCAGGCUGGUCUCAAACUCUUGACCUCAAGAUCUGCCCACCUCAGCCUCCCAAAGUACUGGGAUUACAGGCAUGAACCACCAUGCCCAGCCCCCAUCUUAUCUUUAUAAUAAAAAGUUAAUUUUUAAAAAGUUAAAGGUAAAGCAAGAAAAAUAAAUCUUAAUGCUAAAGAGGAAGGAAAAAAGUAUCUACCUGUUCCUGGAUCACUUUCAGACAGGUAGCUCUAAUACUGCUUAUCCAUUAAAGAUUUCUCAAACUUUGUUUUUAAAAAACAUUGAUUGACACCUUAUGCUCUACUAUAUGCUGGAUCUCGGUGAUUAAUAAGCCCUUUAGGAGCCCAAACUGUUAAGCACCUCUAGGAACUCCUCCUGAUACUACUGGAAAAACAUAAAAACUAAAUACCUCUUUUCAAAGUCAUUCCAGCAGGGAUUAUAUCCUGUAUGGCUUGCACACUGUGUUGAAGAGGGUGGACUUUAACCCUGAAGACAAUGUGAAACCACUGAAUAGUUUCUAUUUGAGAAGCAGUAGGAUUAGAUGUGUGUUUUGUAUCAUCUCUCUGGCUGCAACAUGGAUCACAUAUUGGAAUAACACAAAACCAGAGGCUGUAAGACCAGUCCAAGGCAGUUGGAGCUAUCUAGGUAAGAAAAGGAUUAGGGCUGGAACCAGGGAGGUGGUUUGGACAGAAAGGUAAGUAUACAAACUGGAGAUGUUUCAAGGGAGGCCAAAUAGAUGGGCCUUGAUGAAUUAGGGAUGUAAAGGAGAGAGAGGGAGCAGUCAGAAUGACUCCUAUUUCUAAUUAGGCAGAUGGGUGGGUGCUGAAGUAGUCACUGAAACCACAAAUAGGGAGAGAAUUGGGUUUGGAGAUGGGGGUGGAAAUGAGUUCAGAUUUGCAGAUGUUGAGUUUGAGGUCUCUGUGGAACAUCCUGGAGAAGAUGUACACCUGACAGCUGGAUAUACAAUCCCAAGCACAUAGCAGCCUCUCAGUUAAGUAUUUAUAAAAUGAAAGAAUAUCAGGAGAAGAAUUAUAGGAAGGGAGAUGUAUAGGGAGAGAGAAGGAAAAGAAGAGGUCUGCAGCUCAGGAGACAGAUCUAUGCUUGGGAUUUAAAUUUCAUUAUUCUACAGAUGGCACUUGAAGCACUGGACAUAGACGAGAUCGUGCAGGGAGAGUGUAGGGCAAGAAAAGAUGAGGGCUGAGGACAGAAACCCAGCACAGACAUUUGAAGGACAGGCAAAGAAAAAGUCUUUCAAAGAGACCAGGAAAGGGUGUCCAGAGAGAUAGAAGAGAUGCAGGGAAAAGGUGUUUGCCCAAGAACCAAUGGAGCAAGUUUCCUCUGGAGAAGGGAGUCAAGAGGAAAAGAGAAACACUUAACAUUUUUUGAACACCUACUUUAUGCCAGAAACUUUAUUUAACCUUUACCAUUUAAUUAUCCCCUAAUUCUAAGAAGUGUGCAUUAUUCCCAUUUUACAGAGGAGAACGUUAAGAUGCAAAGAUGUCCUGGCAGUCAGGUGAAACGAUUAGCCUAGGAAUGGUAGAAAAAUGGCUGUCCUUCUGAGGCAAGAGGGAAGGGGACAGAGAUAAAAGCAUGAAGGUAGAGAGGGGACAACUGAAGGUGUUCAUGUUUGAAGACCUAGUUUCUUUGUGCUCUCUUUCACAGCUCUACCUCAUACCUAGGACCCAAGGAAGGUACUGACAAAGCAGAAGCUGCCUUAAAGGAUGAGACACUCCCACCUUGUUGUCGCCUGUGACCAAUACAGAUUCUACAAGACCAGAGGAAGGUGGGAAUUACAGCUUUUCGCCCAGGUGGCCACACUGUCAGCUAAAAAUCAAGUGUCCUGUAACUACAGAAGAAAGAGGAAAAGUCCAGCAAUUUCCGUGAUGCUGAAAGAGGUGUGCAGACAGCUGUAGUACAAGACAAGAAUAAAAGUGUGACAAAGAGAUGCAUGCUUACUAAUUCUGUGACCACAGGUUAACCUGUGUCUGUUUCUCAUUUAUAAAGUGGGAUAAUAGCACCUACCUCAUAGAUUUACCAAAUGCCUAAGUUAUUACAUACAAAUGUUACAUAUGUACAUACAAGCUUAGGUACAGAAGGGUAAUGUAAAAAUAAGUUUUAUUGGCUCAAGCCUGUAAUCCCAGCACUUUGGGAGGCCGAGGCAGGCGGAUCACGAGGUCAAGAGAUUAAGACCAUCCUGGUCAACAUGGUGAAACCCCAUCUCUACUAAAAAUACAAAAAAAAAAUUAGCUGGGCAUAAUGGCGCAUGCCUGUAGUCCCAGCUACUCGGGAGGAGAAUUGCCUGAGGCAGGAGGCAGAGGUUGCGGUGAGCCAAGAUCGCGCCAUUGCACUCCAGCCUGGGUAACAAGAGCAAAAAACUCUGUCUCAAAAUAAAAAAAAAAUGUAUUUUCAAGUCCUUAGACUAGCCCCUGACUCUUAAUAAGUGCUAUAUAGACAUUUGUCAAAUAGAAAUAAGUGGAGGAAAAAUAAGCACAGGCUAAUGGGAGUAUAUACAUCAGUGGAGACAAUCUGAAAAAGGUGUUCUGAAGCAUGUGGACUAUCAGUUCUGUGGUGGCUAGGAUGACUGCCUUUCCUGUGCACCCCUAGCACCUAGUGUGGUGCCUGGCUCAAAGUAUUGGUUGCUGAAUAGGCUUCAUGUCAGAACUAUUUUGUUAGGUGAAAUGGAGGCAGGAAAGAUUUUAGGUGGAAUUAACCAUAUGAACAAAGACAUAAAGGGUGAACCUGUCAUGGUACUUAAUGUGCAUGGAACUCAGUAUAUGUCGAUUGAAUGAAUGCUCAGAUUGAGUAGUUUGGUUUGGCUGAAAUGUAUCAGUUAGGUUCAGACAGAAAAGCACAUCACUCUAGAGAAUUUAAUACAGGGAAUUUUGUUCCACAGGGGACAGAAAUGCUGAAAGUGUUGGCAACUCAGAUACUGCAACAGUAGGAAGCCUGUCACCCCUAGUGCCAGAGGGACAAUGGGAGAUGGUGUUACCAGAACCUGGAAGCCCGAGUCAUCUGGCUGGUGGGGGCUUGGACCAUGGUGGGGCCGCAGACCAAACCAAGGCAGAGGAGAGAAAUACCUGGUUUCUUUCCUUCUUUUGCCCGUAGAUCUUUUGUCAGUGUCGUACUGGAAAGCCAGUUGGCAAGGGAAUCUGGAAAAUGUAGUUUCCUGAAAUCCAGACACUCCAGAGCAGAGCAGAGAAAGGGCUAUGAAAAGAGCUGAGAGAGAAAUAGGCAAAUAACUAGCACAAGUGAAGUUCAGGUCAUGAGCAGGGAAGCAGGGAAUGGUGGUGUGUCAUUUUGUGGAGGGGCUUGAAUGUCAGGUCUUGAAUGUAGGGCUUUCUGUUUCAUUGGGCAGAAGUGAGUUAUAGAAGAUAAAAAGCAGUAUGGCCUCAUUAAAACUGUUUAAUGGGGAAGCUGGGGGAGAAAAGGGAAACAGUAGCUUCCCUUUGAAUACUUGUUACUUGCUAGGCAUGGUGCUAAUUUUUAUUUAAUCAUCUCAGAAAGAUGAUGUGCCUGUUUCUAGAUAUGUUAAAUUUGAGAUAACUUCCUAAUAAUACUUCAUAUGGGUAAUUUGCAGUUAAUCUGAAAUGUGAGUCUACAACAGAGGGUGGGGGAUAGUGAUGUAAGGACAGAGACUCUGGGGUCUUCUGAAGAGGUGAGAGCAGAAGUUGAAGGAGAGGGAGGACAAGAUACUCAAGUCAAACAGUAUAGAAAAAGCAGAUGAGGGCGGGCGUUAGGGAAACCAGUAAGUGGUGGCUAGAGUAAGAAAAUAAAGAGCAGGUAAGAGAAGCAGAAAAGCUGAUCUUGCAGAAGCAGAGAAGCUCAAGCUGCAAGAAGAGGGGAAGAUCAGUAGUGUCAAAUGACAUUGCCUGGUUAGAAGUGAUGAAGACUGAGGGAAAAAAACUGACUAUAGCAGUAAGGAGGUAGGAAGGAACAGUUUCUCUAUACUGGUGGGGCCAUGAGGAGCUAAGGCAGUCUUCAUCAGAUGGCCGUGGCUAAUUUAGUGAAGAAGUAAGUAGUUUGCUAAGGCUAGGCGUGAAAGUUGGGUUCUGGGAGAAUGGAAGUGUCCGGUAUCUCCUGUGUGCUUUUAGGGUAUAGAGGCUGCACUAGCUGCACUGCUGUACCCAGUGCUUAUAUAAUGCACAGGGCUCAAUUAUUUGUUAGCUGACUUGCAGGAUGAAUGAAUUUGGCAGAAAGUAUUUAAAGUUGAAUAAAUGGAUUGUGGAGUAGCAGUGAAAACCCAGCGGAGGGUCAAUCCUUUCCUGAAUCUCAAUAAUAUGACUGAUAAUAGUGUUUUCCUUGACUGAGAUUGGUAGGUGAAGAGUAACAGAAACCACAAAAGACUAUUAAGAAUAAAGAGACUAGUGGGGCAUACAGACUUUUUGAAAUAUUUGAUGAAUCAGGUCCAGAUUUGUUAGGGAGAAAAUGUAUCCUCAUGGGGAUAGAGGAUUCAGAGAAUGAAUGGCUGAAAGGCUUGAAAUCAUUUCACAAUGUUUAGCGGAUGAGACCCAGGCAUCAGAAUUUUGAAAUCAUCAUAGGUAAUUCCAAAGUGCAGCCAAGGCUAAAUUGGAGAGAACUGAAGGGAAGGCUAACAGGAUAAUAGAUUUGGGUAGUCUAAGAAUCUUGACACUGAUUCUCAAAUGAGUCUAAGGCCAUGAUGGUGACUCAUUAAAGUGAACUGGAAAUGAGGGUAACUGGAAUUGAUAAAAUUGAGCUUGAGGAAUUAUAGGGCCAUCUUGAUUUGAAGGUAUAUCUUGUAUCUCCUCCUAGGAAUUCUCUUUGCACAAACUUACGUAAUCUUAGGUUUCCUAGUUCAUUUUGACAUGUCUCAUUUCUUUGGUAGAGCACUGAUCUGCUUAUCAUAUUUAAUUAUAGGUCAUGGUAUUGACCCUACUUCUUGGAAGCAUUUCUUCACUUUAAAAACUAUGUGACAAUUAGGAGAACUGCACUUUACAUUUUAAUUAGACAGAUGCUUGGGGAAUUGGUUAAUUAGAAAGCCCAUUUUGUUUUAACCCUUACUGAAAACUUUCAAUAAAGAUAUUAAUCUAACUAAAUAGCAAGUACAUAUUCUAUUAAGUAAAUAACUGGAUGUUUUUCAGUGGUUUGGGAUCUACUGUGGGUAAUUAUUCUGAACGAUAGUUGUCACUAUCUGAAAGACUGAAUACCUGGUACAUAUCUCAGAAAUGUUAACUUUUUCCCCCAUUAUAUUUUAACUUGCUGCUUCCAAGAAUGGAAUCAUAUUAAUCUGUACCUGUUUCUAAGGACAUUUUCCCAGUUUUCAGUAACAGGAAUAUUGAUGUUUCUCUAGAGCAGCUGGUUUAUCAUACAGCAGAACACUGAACACAAAACUGACUGUGUUAGAACCUAGCCAGAGCCCACCUUUAUCAAUUGUAGUCUUAACAGCAUCUACUUUGUUUUAAAAACAUUUUGGGCCAGGCAUGGUGGCUCACACCUGUAAUCCCAGCACUUUGGGAGGCCGAGGCAGGUGGAUCAUCUGAGGUCAGGAGUUCAAGACCAGCUGGCCAACAUGGUGAAACCCUGUUUCUACUAAUAGAAAAAUCAGCCAGGGGUGGUGGCAGGCAGCUGUAAUCCCAACUACUCGGGAGUCAGGAGAAUUGCUUGAACCCGGGAGGCGAAGGCUGCAGUGAGCUGAGAAUGUGCCACUGCACUCCAGCCUGGGCGACAAAGCAACAGUCUCAAAAAAAGAGGCAUUUUGGAGCCAGAUGGUGUAUAAAUAUAGCAUUCUUUUAGAAACCUUUCCCAAGGCAUGUAAUCGUUAGAUUCACCAGGGUUGAAAUGAAGGAGAAAAUACUAAGGGCAGCCAGAGAAAAAGGUCAGGUUACCCACAAAGGGAAGCCUGUCAGACUGACUCACAGCAGCUCUCUCAGCAAAAACCUUACAGGCCAGAAGAGAUUGGGGGCCAAUAUUCAACAUCCUUAAAGAACUUUCAACCCAGAAUUUCAUAUCCAGCCAAACUGGGUGGUGGCAGGCAAACUGGAUAUGAAAUUCAUAUCCUAAGCUUCAUAAGCAAAGGAAAAAUAAAUUUUUUUGCGAACAAGCAAGUACUCAGAGAUUUCAUCACCACCAGGCCUGCUUUACAAGAGCUUCUGAAAGAAGGUAACAUAGAAAGGAACAGCUAGUAUCAGCCAUUCCAAAAACAUACCAAAAGGUAAAGAGCAUCACCAUAAUGAAGAAUUUACAUAAAACUAAUGGGCAAAACAGCCAGCCAGCAUUAAAAUGGCAGUAUUAAACUCAACUAUAUCAAUAUCAAUCCCAAAUUUAAAUGGACUAAAUGCCUCAAUAAAAGACACAGACAGGUAAAUUGGAUAAAAAGCCAAAACCCAUUGGUAUGCUGCAUCCAGACCCAUCUCAUAUGCAAGGAUACACAAAGACUCAAAACAAAAAAAGGAUGGAAGAAGAUUUACCAACCAGAGAGGGGGAAAAAAAAAAAAAAAAAAAAAAAGCAGGAAUUGCAAUUCUCGUCUCUGAUAAAAAAUAGACAUUAAAGCAACAAAGAUCAAAAGUGACAAAGUAGGACAUUACACAAUGGUAAAAAGGAUCAAUGCAACAAGAAGAGCUAACGAUCCUAAAUACAUACGUACCCAAUACAGGGGCACCCAGAUACAUAAGGCAAGUUCUUAAUGACUUACAAAGAGACUUAGUCUCCCACAUAAUAAUAGUGGGAGACUUUAACACUACAUUGUCAAUAUUAGAUCAACAAGACAGAAAAUUAACAAGGAUAUCCAGGACUUGAACUCAGACCUGAAAUAAGUAAACUUAAUAAACAUUUACAGAACUCUCCACCCCAAAUCCACAAAACAUACAUUCUUAUCAGUAUCACAUCACACCUACUCUAAAAGUGACUACAUAAUUGAAAGUAAAUCACUCCUCAGCAAUUGCAUAGCACUACACAGGUUUAAAUGAAAUAUUGGUUGGCUGCUUGUUUGCUAUUUUCCUCCUUUAUUCCUUCCUGUCUCCAUUGUUAAGCACAUUUAUUGGCAUAAAAGAGGUUUUUAAUACCCAUUUUUAGACUGCAUUCUAGCCUGGGCAUUAGAGCAAGAUUCCUGUUUCUCUCUCCCUCUUUUAUUUUUUUUCUUUCUCUUUUUCUUCCUUUUUCUCUUUAAAAAAAAAAAAAAAAGAAAGAAAGAUUUUCCAGUGCAUAGAGGUACUUGGAAAAACUUUUCCUUUCGUUGCAUUUGUGGAAGUUAGUUUUCUGGCCUGUGGCCUUUAAUUUUCUUAGCCAACCUAAGUACAUCAGGAUAGAGGUAGAGUUUCUGUAAAAGAAGAGACAUUAAGAGUUCCUGAAAUUUAUAUCGGGCAUAUGGAUAGGCUUAUAUUCAAAACAUCUUACUCAAAAAAAAAAAAAAGAAAAGAAAAAGAAAUCUUUCAAGAUCUUUCUCGGGUAUCUUGAAGGUCUCUUUCACCAGCACACCUGACUGUGGCAGCCCUUUGUACUCUUUACACUUCUCUGGUAUAUCUUAAGCCUUCAAAUAGUUCCAGUUGGCUGGGCAUGACGGCUCACACCUGUAAUCCCAGCACUUUGGGAGGCUGAGGCAGGUGGAUCACUUGAGGUAAGGAUGGCAAAACCCCAUCUCUGCUAAAAAUAUAAAAAUUAGUUGGGCACUGUGGCAUGUCCAGUAGUCCCAGCUACUUGGGAAGCUGAGGCAUGAUAAUCGCUUGAACUUGGGAGGCCAAGGUUGCAGUGAGCUGAGACGAAGCCACUGCACUCCAGCCUGGGUGAUGGAGUGAGACUGUCUCAAAAAAAAAAAAAAAAAAAUUCCAGUAGGUGAACUGAGUUUAGUGACACAGGUCAAAUUCA